UAGUUUGCGUUAGGCUCUGUGUUUUUGAGAAACCCCAUUGUGCAACUUGACACAGGUUGGAGUCGGAGAGUAUUAUCGUUGCUAGCCUUUGUCACAGUCACACAAUUUUCCUCGUUGCUCGUGAAAUCAUUUGAGGAAUGCUCAUGACGUGAGUGUGUAUGAAACAUGAUCCCCAAGUGGACUUCUCUAAUGUUAAUAAGAAAGCAGCUUUAAGAUAUGUACCCAGUGUGUCACCUGAGCGUCUGUAGAUUCCUGCGCUCUCGCGGAUAAAAUGUGUUUGUAAGAGUCGUGUCAGAUUACAGUCUUGUGAGCGUUUACGGUUUACACAUGGGUUUUCUCAGAUAUUCACAAGGUUAAUGUUGUGGCGAGAAGAACAGUGCCUUUCGACUUCUCAACUCAGCUUGCUCAUAUAAGUGUCAAUACUACCUCGAAUCUGUGGCCGUGCCCUUUGUUGGUGAAACAGAAAUGUGCGUGGGCCGGCCGGCAGGAAAGAAAGUGGCUCAACAGGCUGAGGAUCGACCGUGUCGCAGAACAAAUGUUUCACUUUCUUCUUUCCAGUCUUUAUCUCAGGUGGAUCUGACGGGUUGACACCCCGAAAUGGAACCUGGGGCAAACCAGAUGAUCCCAGAACGUUGCGCAAUGAAAUAACCUGGGGCCCGAGUAAUGAAUUUGGACCGUCAAGCCGGGGCCCAAGUGACAGCUGAAGUUGUCGAUGUCCUAAAGUGAUUUCAUUCAUUCAAAACAACCCCAUUUCCAAGUCAGCUGAACACUAGACAGAAACCAUUCUGGGGGAAGGGCAUUCAAAUCAGCGAGUUCCACGAAGCCAAUCAGAAGGGAGCGUGAGCCGUGGCCGAGCCUGUGUUGCAUAACCGAGCAGACAGAGGCCAGAGCAGAGACUGUCUCGCUCUGCAGACUCAACAGCCUUCACACGCAACACUCCCCGACCAAGUGUGUGUAUAUAUUAGGUCUUGCAUACUUUGCUUUGCUUCCCAGACUGAACUGUGCCGGAGCAUGCAGAUGUAAUAACUUCUCAGGAAUAUGCUCUCAAAAACAAAAACAAAAAUCAACUUUACCUAAAUGUAUUUUGUUGACCACUGAUAUAUUUUAUGUGUUAGAAUCCUGCAAAUAAUAACGAAAUGCUUUCCAUAUUAAGUUCAGCAAGAAACGAUUUUAGUCAGUGAUGAUGAUGUGCACAUUAAUGAUCACAAAAGAAUAUGACGCUAAAAACCUUGUGUUGUGUAUUUCAUGAAAAAGACAAAAAAGUAAAUAAAUAUAUAACAAUUGCAUUCACAGAUUAUCAUUAUGAUCAUAUCAGAGAAAAAACAGUUAACUUUUUUCUCUCCAAAUCCUAUUACAGCAUGUUCU